CCAGACGUCAAAGGCCCGCCCCUUUUUACCGUCCUGACAUUGCCAUCGCCGCAGAGUGUCCCCCUCCCUGUGCGGCAUUGGCCUCCCGCUGGCUGGAUGUGCGUCCAGUGCAGUCCCCGGGUAUGUUAUAUCCAUUUGUACGAAGUGAAGUACUCAAGUAGUUCCCGUUUUAAGUGAGUAUUUUGUGUGUUCCAGGGAUCACUAUGUAGCAGGGGAGCGGCUGUCAAUUGGCUACAUUGAUAAGAACUCUGCUGCUUUGCCUACGUAAUUUUUAGCCAACGACUUCUUCAUGUGCCCGUCUAAUCAGCACCACUGGUCCCGCGGUUAACGUGGCCUGCAGCUAGCUUGUCGUAGCCUACGCUAGUGGGACUACGCAUAGAGGCCUUGGACUAGAAAGCCACUGGAACUCAUUCGGGUGCUAUAGCGCUCGUUAGGAAGGAAUGGGUGCUUGACGAACGGACCCCAUUUUAUUGAUUGUUUUUCGCUGUUCUGCAUUGCAUCCUGUUAUUGUCUGUGUUGUUUGUAGCCUACGUUUGUCUGUCUGUUUCUUUUGUUUCUUAUACACUUGACUGGAGGCCGUUUCUCCUAGUGCUGUUGAUCGUCAAAGUGUUGACCUUUUGUUUUGUGAUUUGUCUUUCUGUUUGCACUAAUCUUUGUUAAUUUGUUUUGUCCUCACUAAGGGGAGACUGUGAAGCUGCGGAUCCUUAGUGUGACUGUUUGUUUUAUUGGUUGUUGUUUGAUUUACUUUGUUACACUUUAUGUGAGCUGUCUGUAAUCCUUGUCCGUCCCCUCUGUUUAGGUGCUGAGAGCCGAAAGUGGGAGCAGUUCCUGGUGGUGAUGGGUUCCCAUCUUUGUGUGCUGUGACAUUUGUCUCUCACUGAGUGCAUCAUUGCCGUGUGUGUGUGUGUGUGUGUGUGUGUGUGUGUGUGUGUGUGUGUGAGAGACCAAGCACGUGUGAUUGGGUGCCUCCUUCGGAUACUCAUUAUUAUCCACUGCCCUCCCACCGGUAAGCCUCAGCCCUCUUCCUGUUUUAUGUGUAUGUGAAUUUACAGUGUAAAAAUAAAUAAUUGUUUUUAUGGAA